GACGAACGCUGGCGGCGUGCCUAACACAUGCAAGUCGAGCGGGGAGAGAUUUUCGGAUUUCUCUUUAGCGGCGGACGGGUGAGUAACACGUGGGUAACCUGCCUCAAAGAGGGGGAUAGCCUUCCGAAAGGAAGAUUAAUACCGCAUAAUAUCAGGAAGCUGCAUGGCAUUCUGAUUAAAGGAGCAAUCCGCUUUGAGAUGGACCUGCGGCGCAUUAGCUAGUUGGUGAGGUAACGGACAACCAAGGUGACGAUGCGUAGCCGACCUGGGAGGGUGAUCGGCCACAUUGGAACUGAGACACGGUCCAGACUCCUACGGGAGGCAGCAGUGGGGAAUAUUGCACAAUGGGGGAAACCCUGAUGCAGCAACGCCGCGUGAGUGAUGAAGGCCUUCGGGUCGUAAAGCUCUUUGAUCAGGGACGAUAAUGACGGUACCUGAAAAACAAGCCACGGCUAACUACGUGCCAGCCGCCGCCGUAAAAC
rnacentral:rRNA from 1 species